rnacentral:rRNA from 1 species
GACGAACGCUGGCGGCGUGCUUAACACAUGCAAGUCGAGCGAGACUUUCUCUUCGGAGGGAUGCUCUAGCGGCGAACGGGUGAGUAACACGUGGGCAACCUGCCCCUAGCUCUGGGAUAAGCCCGAGAAAUCGGGUCUAAUACUGGAUAUUCACGACAUAGGGCAUCUUGUGUUGUGGAAAGGUUUUCUUGGUGGGGGAGUGUGCUCGCGGCCUAUCAGCUUGUUGGG